rnacentral:rRNA from 1 species
AACCUCCGCAAUGUGAGAAAUCGCGACGGGGGGAUCCCAAGUGCCAUUCUUAACGGGAUGGCUUUUCAUUAGUGUAAAGAGCUUUUGGAAUAAGGGCUGGGCAAGACCGGUGCCAGCCGCCGCGGUAACACCGGCAGCUCUAGUGGUAGCAGUUUUUAUUGGACCUAAAGCGUCCGUAGCCGGUUUAAUAAGUCUCUGGUGAAAUCCUGUAGCUUAACUGUGGGAAUUGCUGGAGAUACUAUUAGACUUGAGACCGGGAGAGGUUAGAGGUACUCCCAGGGUAGAGGUGAAAUUCUGUAAUCCUGGGAGGACCGCCUGUUGCGAAGGCGUCUAACUGGAACGGUUCUGACGGUGAGGGACGAAAGUUAGGGGCGCGAACCGGAUUAGAUACCCGGGUAGUCCUAACUGUAAACGAUGCGGACUUGGGGUUGGGGUGGCUUUGAGCUGCUCCAGUGCCGAAGGGAAGCUGUUAAGUCCGCCGCCUGGGAAGUACGGUCGCAAGACUAAAACUUAAAAGGAUG